UGUAUUUCAGGUUCCUACCCUGUUAUCAUAGGGGUCUCCUAUGCCAGCGAAUAUGGAAAAGUUUACUAAAUGUAUGUUUGGAUGUGCCAAUCUGUUGCACAAUGGAUGAAAUCGGAUGCUCACGGAGACCCUGUUGCAGCCGGGUCGUCCAGACGCGCGGGGGCCGCCACCGUAACACCGUUCCUGACGCGCCGGACGGUUCCCCUGCGCCACUGUGGCCGCGCCGUCCCCGCCGUCCUCGCUACGCCUCUUUUGCCACGCAGCCGCCAUCGCGCCGUGACGCGUCCGACGGCUCCCUGCGCCGCCGAGAGGCUGGUGAUGAUUUGGGUCCGAGAGGCGCCGCAUGUGGUGCCUACAGGCCUUGUGUUGCUCGGCGACCGCCAGCCGUUUCAGUUUCCUAUUUUUUAACAAAAUAUGAGGUGUCAAGGUGUUGCGCUACGAGGAAUGCAGCUGCGCUCUGAUUAGUUUUGCCAAUCAAUUUAAGGUUUGAUAGCCUAAGCAAUUUGUGUCAGUUUUACAAGAAGGAAACGGGUUGGUGGUUAAACAGCUUCCUGAUACAUUAUUGCCAGUUUUUGUGUUGUAAAGGUUUGGUUGUAGAUUAGUACGACUACUGUUUGUCCAGCCAUGAUGAUUACAGAAGGUUGCCAUCCAUUCUAAAGAUCAUGGUUAUUGUGCCACCCACAUGGAGUGCAGUGGAGAUGCUGAGCUCUAGAGUACAUUGGUUGCUUGCUGUUGGUGAUGAUGGCAGCCAUGAGCAAUGGAAGCAGCAUGUGGACCUUCAAGGGAAUAAUUGAAAGUCAGAUGAGAAUGAGCAGGAAGCGCUCCCAAUAGCUGAAGUUGUAGGAUGCUUCAUCAUUCAAAUGACAUUCAAGAAAUGAACCUGAAGGAGGGCCAAAUGAGUUGAGCAGGACAUAGUCAUGAUGACUCCAGAGUGCUGAUGACAGACGAGAUGACAUUAAGAGUUUCGAGAGAAUGGCAAGAUGGUCUAGAAAAGGAGGAACAAGGGCAAGUAGGUGACAAGCAUGCUUACACCCAUGUGAGAGUUUUCGAAUUUUCAGAUGCUGAUAGGAUGCAACUAAACUACCUUCACCAGAUUACUAUGAAUUGUGAACUCCAGAGCUUUCUGUUAAGUUGCAGUACAUGCUUCAUACUUGCAUAUAAUAUAUGAGAAUUCUUAAUAGCACUUUGAUUGUUUUAUUCCUAAGUAACCACAGCUCUUUUUUUUUUGGUACUGCACCCUUAGUUUUUGAGUAAACACUGACUGCUACAUCAUACUGCCUCAAAAUACUACUGAUUGCUUACAUCAUACUGAUCUUGAAUAACUGAAUCAUUUGUUCAGCUUCUAAUUAUCAGAUCUUUUACUGAUCUCUUAUGUUUGUGAUAGGGGCUUGAGGAGGAAGAAGAGGUUUGAGGUGUUCGAUGAGAAAGGGCUAAUGGUGGUAGCUAUUAUUCUAGCAGAAACUAAUGUAGAGCUUGUCGUUAUGGGGUGCUUUAUUUGUAGCAAAGAAACUUUAGGAUUACUUUAGUGGUAAACCAUGAUGGUAGCUAUGAGACUUCAUCCAUGUGAGGACAGUCGUCAAAUACAUAUCGUAAA